UUGUGAUUCCAAUUGUAUACUAUAUAUUAUUAUAUACACAGCUAAUAUUGCACGCGAUUAGUAGUAAACCGAAAACAGUGAUAGCGAUGCAUGAAAUCCAUUCGCAGAAGUCACCGUGACUUAUAGACCAAUAAUAAUAUGUAUAAGAUCAUUCAAGUAGAAAAAUCGUGCCUGUCUUUUCAUUCCAGCCAUUGCCCAUUAGAUACAAUGAAAAACAUGUCUUCGCAAUUGUAUGUACAAUGUGAUAACCUAUAUGAUGGAUAAUAUACAAGAUCUGGAACUACAACGAUGCCUCUCUGGAGCCGUGGGACGCAGUAUCGAACUACAGUAGCUUGAUGCCCGCUGCAGCGGUUUACCCACCCGCGAUCAAGUCACCUGUUUUUCUCAGCAAAUACACACAUACGUGCAUAGAUGUUAUCGUCAGGCUUUUUUCUUGUUUUAAAUAAUAAUGUCCAAUCACUUCUUUAAUGGGUACGACUAUACGUGCAUGAUAUUAUUAUUAAGAGAAAAUACCAUCAUAAAUGUUGUUUUUUAGUGGUAUUUUUUAUCGGUAGGCCUUGCGUUUCGAGAUACGUCAAUGAUAUCGCGAUGGGAAAUCGUGAUUGAUUGUUUCGAAAUAAACGGGUGAACACCGAAAAAGACAUGUGGUUUGGAGUGAAAACAAUUUAACAAAACAUUUUAAAGCAUAAUAUACCUAAUUAUAAUUUACCUAACUUGUUUCUCGAUUUAAAAUUUUUCACAGCGCAACAAAAUAUAAUUUCAUAUACGGAGCGGGAGUCAACAAAUGCCGAUUCAUCAAAAAUUGAUAAUUAAAUUGUCGACGGCGACGAUAAUUACGGAGCGAUCGGGCAGUCGUGGUGUGUUACGGCCGACAUCUGUCUUAUUUUAAUAUCUUUAA